AGUUAAUGAGCUUGAAAUAAGCAUAUGUUUUGAAAACAUAAGAUAGAAGUUACAAUCUUCUAUUAACUU
rnacentral:tRNA from 1 species